rnacentral:rRNA from 1 species
AUAUUGCACAAUGGGCGCAAGCCUGAUGCAGCGACGCCGCGGGAGGGAUGACGGCCUUCGGGUUGUAAACCUCUUUCAGUAGGGAAGAAGCCGUAAGGUGACGGUACCUGCAGAAGAAGCGCCGGCUAACUACGUGCCAGCAGCAGCGGUAAUACGUAGGGCGCAAGCGUUAUCCGGAAUUAUUGGGCGUAAAGAGCUCGUAGGCGGUUUGUCGCAUCCGCUGUGAAAGACCGGGGCUCAACUCCGGUUCUGCAGUGGGUACGGGCAGACUAGAGUGCAGUAGGGGAGACUGGAAUUCCUGGUGUAGCGGUGAAAUGCGCAGAUAUCAGGAGGAACACCGAUGGCGAAGGCAGGUCUCUGGGCUGUAACUGACGCUGAGGAGCGAAAGCAUGGGGAGCGAACAGG